ACACUCCUGUGAGACUUUCCAGCUUUGUGAUGAAUAAAGAACAUCUUAUACAGUGACAUCACAUCCUGUCAUUGUGUGUGUCUGACGGUGGUGAAACUGCAGUGACCUGUUUACUGUGAUGACACUUCGCAGCACUGUCUCUCCUCAGUCCUGCAGAACGACUUUAUUCCUGGCCAACAUGAAGCUGCUGCCUCUCAUCUGCCUCAGCGUCUCCGUCACCGCUGGAAUACACCUGGUUCAGUCUCCUCCUCGUGUGACUGUGAUGUCAGGGUCAAAGGUCAGCCUCAAAUGUAACAUCACUGGGACUGGUGAAACACAUGGCUGCUCUCGAGUGACAUGGCUCCAUAUCAGGCAGGUGAGCGGUCUCAGUGCCACUCCUUGGUUUAAUUCUCGAGUUCAGAGCAGGCUCUGUCUGCUGGAAGUCCCCAGAGCCACCCAGCAGGACGCCGGCAUGUACUUCUGUGUCUACAUCGAUGGGGUCAUGCCAGUGCUGGGCAGCGGGACAACGGUGACGGUCACAGAAUCAGAGCUCCACAGUCCUGCACUUGAUCUCUUGGCUCCUUUACACGUCAGCUCGCCCCUCCCCGUCCCGUUGAUCUGCCUGGCGUCCGGGCUGAACGACACCGGUCGGGUCAAAGUCGACUGGGAGGUGGACUCUGAGGAGGAUGUGCUUAAGGAACUCAGUCCCACAAUCCUCCCUGACACCAGGGCGGGAGUCUUCAGCUCGCAGGUUUAUGUUCCUGCAGAAACCUGGUCUGCAGGUGUGAACGUGUCCUGUGUGCUGAGUGAUGGAGAGCUGAGGAUCAGGAAGACCAUCAGCAGCAGGACAGAUGAGGUCAAACCAUCCAGUCAGUGUGUGUUUCUGACCUCCAUCAUUGGCACUGCAUGUGCCGCCUUUUUUACCUCCACCGUGGCACUCUGCGCCCUGCUGUGGCGCCGACACAAAAAAACGCCAAAGAUCAGUGACGAGACGUCUCCGGAGCUUCAUUAUGCUGCUCUGAGGUUUUCAGCUUCAGGUGGAAGAAACAUCAGAUGACUGAAGCUGCUGCGAUUCGUCGAACACAGUUUUCACCGAGCCGAGGACGCAAAGAAAUGCCAACAAAUCUGAUUGGCUGAAGAUAGAUAGAUAGAUAGAUAGAUAGAUAGA